CACUACAUAAAUUCAACUCGGGUGCUUGAAAUCCGAUUCUCCUCUCCAACUCCUCUAGUUCCCUGCAGAAAAUGACAUUUUGGGAGAUGACACUCUAAACUGGUGCUUUUCCUCCCUCCUCGUCAUGCCACAGAGUUGGUAUUCUGGGCUUCAGUGUGCCCUAUUGGCCUAGCCACAGCCCGACAGCCUUUCAUUACACUAGCCGAAGGAGGUGGCCUGGACAUCCCCAUCGAAGACACCAUCACCACACCCCAAAGGGUGCCCAGCUCCGAGCUGUUCCCUGGAUACAUCAACAAGAGAGAUGAGAAAACAGCCGCUCUGUUUGUACAUCAUUUAACUGGCAAUCAUCAAGCCUGACCUAUUAUAGAUGGGCUUGUGAUGGAUUGUUCAUUCAUCCAGGGAGUUUAUCCGCCUGUGUUAGAAGUUGCUCCGGCAUC